rnacentral:tRNA from 1 species
GCUUUAGUGGUGUAAUUGGUAACAUACGGUCUUGCCAAGGCUGAGAUUAGGGUUCAAGUCCCUGCUAGAGCA